UGAACGCUGGCGGUAUGCCUAACACAUGCAAGUCGUACGAGGGUUUUUUAACUCUAGUGGCGGACGGGUGAGUAACACGUGAGAAUUUGCCUUUAGGAGGGGGAUAACAAUCGGAAACGAAUGCUAAUACCCCAUAUGCUUUAGAGUGAAAUGGAUUUUAUCCGCCUAGAGAGAAGCUCGCGGCUGAUUAGCUUGUUGGUAAGGUAAGAGCUUACCAAGGCGACGAUCAGUAUCUGGUUUGAGAGGACGAUCAGACACACUGGAACUGAGACACGGUCCAGACUCCUACGGGAGGCAGCAGUGGGGAAUUUUCCGCAAUGGGCGAAAGCCUGACGGAGCAAUACCGCGUGAGGGAAGAAUGCCUAUGGGUUGUAAAACCCUCUUUUUUUCAGGGAGGAAUAAAAUGACGUGUACCUGAAGAAUAAGCAUCGGCUAACUCCGUGCCAGCAGCCGCGGUAAUCUGAUGGCGCGAGG
rnacentral:rRNA from 1 species